UGAAAAGUUCCUCAAAACGCUGUCGCUUGGAAAGCGGCUUUCAUGCCCUCUUCUUCGUUUACUGUGUAGACACAAACACUGAAAAUUUCACCCCAGGUUCUCUCUUUCUCUCGCAACCUCUUGAUCGUCUUGUAACUCGUUCGAGCUCGACUCAGUAUCCGAGACCGCACCCAUUCGACGUCGUUUAGCAGUGAAAAUGUGCGUGCAAACUGUUAUGCUCUGAAUUCCGGGCGGUUUCUUUUGCUUGUGGUUGUGGACUGGAUCUCCAAUUGUCAAAAUUUUGGUUUCACAGUGUCAUGGAUCCCAAUGGUUUUAUUGACGAGAAGAGCGAAAGCAGGCUUUACGUCGGUAACCUUGAUUUGAGAAUAACAGAGGCUGCUCUGAUUAAGAUGUUUUCUCCCUUUGGAAAGAUUGUAGCUGAAGACUUUCUGUGGCAUACUCGUGGCCCGAAACGCGGCGAGCCACGAGGCUUUGCUUUCAUCCAAUAUAGCACAAAAGAGUGAGUACGCAGGAAGCUAAAUUGGCCAAGGAGAAGAUGCAUGGGAAAUUAGCUUGUGGGCGCCCAUUGGUUGUCCGUCUUGCUAGUGAGAAAUACUUGGUGGAAACAGCAGAGAAGUUGUCCAAAGGUGUGGGUGACUCACAUAAGACAAGCCUUUCUGGUAGUGGUUCAGGACAGAUGAGUCGAACUGCUAAAAUUGCUGCAAUCAAGAACAAAUUAAAAGCUUUGGAGGAGGAUAGCUCUAUUUCAAAGAAGCAGAAGCUAGCUGAAAGCGUCUCUACUAGUGAAAGUUUGGAUCGGCCCUCUGGCAAAAGAUGAUAAGAAAUUGUAAUUGGGGUAGAAUUCUAUCUAACCGAGAGAUUCUGUGAAGCCUUUUACCAGACUUCAGAACUUGUGAGGUAUUAACAAGGUGCUGAAAUUGAAAUGAUUUCGGAAUUUCAUAUGUGAUAUUCCAUGAUGUUGUAAUUGUCAAUGGAAUGCUUGUCAAUCGAAUUCUGAUCCUGGCGUUGAUAGUGCAAAGUAAUUGUGAAUUUGAGUUCAAAUUGUGAAUUUGA